AUUGAACGCUGGCGGCAGGCCUAACACAUGCAAGUCGAGCGAGCGGCGGACGGGUGAGUAAUGCCUGGGAAUUGCCCAGUCGAGGGGGAUAACCGUUGGAAACGACUGCUAAUCCCGCAUACGAUUGGACCGCCCAGGUGGGAUUAGCUAGUUGGUUGGGUAAUGGCUCACCAAGGCGACGAUCCCUAGCUGGUCUGAGAGGAGGAUCAGCCACACUGGAACUGAGACACGGUCCAGACUCCGACGGGAGGCAGCAGUGGGGAAUAUUGCACAAUGGGGGAAACCCUGAUGCAGCCAUGCCGCGUGUGUGAAGAAGGCCUUCGGGUUGUAAAGCACUUUCAGCGAGGAGGCGUUACUCGCAGAAGAAGCACCGGCUAACUCCGUGCCAGCAGCCGCGGUAAUUC
rnacentral:rRNA from 1 species